CACUGGUUGAGAACUGGAGCCGUUCUCCUAAUGAGCCCAAGGCAUGACGAAACCAGUU
rnacentral:hammerhead_ribozyme from 9 species